rnacentral:rRNA from 1 species
AUUGAACGCUGGCGGAAUGCUUUACACAUGCAAGUCGAACGGCAGCACGGACUUCGGUCUGGUGGCGAGUGGCGAACGGGUGAGUAAUGUAUCGGAACGUAUCCAAUAAUGGGGGAUAACUAGUCGAAAGAUUAGCUAAUACCGCAUACGCCCUACGGGGGAAAGCUAGGGACCUUCGGGCCUGGCGUUAAUGGAGCGGCCGAUAUCUGAUUAGCUAGUUGGUGAGGUAAAAGCUCACCAAGGCGACGAUCAGUAGCUGGUCUGAGAGGACGACCAGCCAAACUGGAACUGAGACACGGUCCAGACUCCUACGGGAGGCAGCAGUGGGGAAUUUUGGACAAUGGGCGAGAGCCUGAUCCAGCCAUUCCGCGUGAGUGAAGAAGGCCUUCGGGUUGUAAAGCUCUUUCGCAAGAGAAGAAAACUUACCCUCUACAUAGGGUGAGGCUGACGGUAUCUUGAUAAGAAGCACCGGCUAACUACGUGCCAGCCGCCGCAGUAA